GAAGCCCUGCUCGCUCAGACCCCACGGGAAGGCUCAGGGCACCGCUGCCAGUCCCCAGGCCCUCAGUCGCAACAGCAGCAGCCAGAAUGAGCCUCCCGACAGAGCAGCUGAGCUCAGAGACACACUGGCUGGUCUCCCAGACGGGCCUGGACCUCAGGAAUGGAGGCGCAGCUCUGGGAGCCCCCUGCUCCACAGGGUGCUGUUCCUGGAAGUCCCACUGCAGCUCUGCCCUCAGGAGGCUGCCCCUGCUCUCUGGCCUUGGACACUGGAAACUCCUGGUGGAGCAGAGGGGGAGGCGGCCAGGCCCUGGAAUCCCCGGAAGAGGCUCUCCCGGGACACACACCUAACUCGAACUUAGGAAAGACCUGUGAACAACCACACGGCUGCCCAAAAGACAGGUGACAGUGUCUCUUUAACUCGAGAUGGUACAAAUCACACAACAGGGCCCGAUGGCCCCACGCCAGAAUGUCAACCAUGCUUCUGAUUAAGGCACCUGAUUACAGAGGGGGGAGAGGGACAGAGGCGGUUAAUACAUUAGUCCGCCAUCCGGACGGAGCUGUGGGGGUCCAGCCUUACCUCAGUGCCAAGGGACAAAUGAGCCCAGCAGACAAUGGCCGGAUGAAGGGGCAGGCUGGCUCAGGCCCUGCAGUGAGCCAGAGCUGACUAAGGUACCGGUGCCUAUCACCACUCAAUACUUGGGGACCACCAGCCAAGCCACAUGCCACCAGGCACCCAGCCAUUUUCCCCUUAUAAAAAGUUUUAUAAAGCAUAGGGUCAGCUGUUGACUUCCUGAAGAACUGUGACCUUUAAUACCCUCCAAGGUACCAGGAGGCCACCUAGACUCUGGAACCAAAGGUGCAGGGUUUGGGGAACAUGGGGAUUAAGGCAGGGCGCAUCUCUGCCCAAGCAGAAGGGCCUGGUCACCUGGGCCCCAGGCUGGACACACUUUCGCUCCCCUGCUGAUCUGCACUACGUCCACCUUGCCCCUAAGGCUCUGGGGAAGGUUCCACCUCUAAAUAGAAAAUAAGAUUUUGUCAUUCUAGAAUUUGAUACUACCUCAGGCAAUGGUCCGGAGGAGGAGGACACUUUCAGGCACUGCAGGGCAGUGAAGGAUUGGCUGGGGCCUUUAGACACUUGCUCUGAUCAUGCAUGACCUUCCAUGGGAGAAGAGCUGGUGCCAGGCCCGUCCAGCAGAUGGCAGCAGGGCUCUGCGCUGGCCUUCCUGUGCCCACCCACCUCCGGGCAGCACACAGCACAGCCAGGAGUCAGCCAAGGGCACCAGAGCAGGCAGGCCGGCUGGGGACGCAGUGAGAGCAGAGAGUCCCAGCGGGCUGUGGGCUUCCGAGGCGGCCGGCUGGGCCCCACGGGUCAGCUCCAGGAGGAGCUGCUGGGCGUCACCAGUGCUUCCCCACCCCACCCAGCUCCUGCUCACCUGGGGCGGUCCCAGUGCGCCCAACCCGUCUCCCAGCCACCUGGCACAGGUGCUGUUCCCAAUUUUGGUGCAACUGAAAAUGUAGGCGCUAUGGGGAGUUCUCUGGCUGGGAGACCAGUAACAUCACUCAAAGAGCGGGUCCUCUGAAAGCGGGUUCCCAGGGCUGCGCGUGGAGGCUGUGCUCCGCCCGAGGGCUCCCCACCAGGGAGCUCCUCCGGUUAAAGGAGCCCGAUCUCCGUGUGGUUCCGAAGAACUUCCUCUGGUACCGACACCUCCUCUGGUGAGAGGGCCUCCAAGACGGGCCUGCACCCCCAAACCACGUCUCAGAGAGGGGCUAAAA